rnacentral:rRNA from 1 species
AACGUAGGAGACAAACGUUAUCCGGAGUUACUGGGCGUAAAGGGCGUGUAGGCGGUUUGUUAAGUCUGGCGUGAAAGCUCUCGGCUAAACCGGGAGAGGUCGUUGGAUACUGGCGAACUGGAGGAUGGUAGAGGCGUGUGGAAUUCCGGGUGUAGUGGUGAAAUGCGUAGAGAUCCGGAGGAACACCAGUGGCGAAGGCGACACGCUGGGCCAUACCUGACGCUAAAGCGCGACAGCAUGGGGAGCAAACAGG